rnacentral:lncRNA from 1 species
GACCUGUGGGCUAUGGGCCCACCACGCUUCCGCUGCGCCACUCUGAUGCUCUUGUGCAUCUCGCACGCCAGAUCUUUUAUAACUAUAUACAAAAGAUAAAUAAGGCAAAUGAACCCUUGAACUUCCAUAAAUUAUUUACUUGCCUCCAUAUCUUCCAGGAUUUUUAUUUGCUACCCUCUUUUUCUUUAUAAAAAUUUUUACAGGUGUUUUGGCUUUCUGGGGAAAGAAAUGAAAAAGAGAAUAAAAACACAUAUAGAAUGUACUAAUUGAAUAAUUAUCAGAAAGCAAAUAGUUUUACGGUGGCAUACGAACUCUUAAU